rnacentral:rRNA from 1 species
CCUGCGGAGGGAUCAUUACUGAGUGAGGGCCUUCGGGCUCGACCUCCAACCCUUUGUGAACACAACUUGUUGCUUCGGGGGCGACCCUGCCGUUUCGACGGCGAGCGCCCCCGGAGGCCUUCAAACACUGCAUCUUUGCGUCGGAGUUUAAGUAAAUUAAACAAAACUUUCAACAACGGAUCUCUUGGUUCUGGCAUCGAUGAAGAACGCAGCGAAAUGCGAUAAGUAAUGUGAAUUGCAGAAUUCAGUGAAUCAUCGAAUCUUUGAACGCACAUUGCGCCCUUUGGUAUUCCGAAGGGCAUGCCUGUUCGAGCGUCAUUUCACCACUCAAGCCUAGCUUGGUAUUGGGCGCCGCGGUGUUCCGCGCGCCUCAAAGUCUCCGGCUGAGCUGUCCGUCUCUAAGCGUUGUGAUUUCAUUAAUCGCUUCGGAGCGCGGGCGGUCGCGGCCGUUAAAUCUU